GAUGAACGCUGGCGGCGUGCCUAAUACAUGCAAGUCGAGCGAACGGACGAGAAGCUUGCUUCUCUGAUGUUAGCGGCGGACGGGUGAGUAACACGUGGAUAACCUACCUAUAAGACUGGGAUAACUUCGGGAAACCGGAGCUAAUACCGGAUAAUAUUUUGAACCGCAUGGUUCAAAAGUAAAAGACGGUCUUGCUGUCACUUAUAGAUGGAUCCGCGCUGCAUUAGCUAGUUGGGAAGGUAACGGCCUACCAAGGCAACGAUGCAUAGCCGACCUCAGAGGGUGAUCGGCCACACUGGAACUGGGCCACGGUCCAGACUCCUACGGGAGGGAGCAGUCGGGAAUGUUCCGCAAUGGGCGAAAGCCUGACGGAGCAACGCCGCGUGAGUGAUGAAGGUCUUCGGAUCGUAAAGCUCUGUUAUUAGGUAAGAACAUAUGUGUACUUAACCGUAGACAGCUUGACGGUAACUAAUCAGAAAGCCACGGCUAACUACGUG
rnacentral:rRNA from 1 species